CGUAGGGGCUAGCGUUAUCCGGAAUUACUGGGCGUAAAGGGUGCGUAGGUGGUUUCUUAAGUCAGAGGUGAAAGGCUAAGGCUCAACCGUAGUAAGCCUUUGAAACUGGGAAACUUGAGUGCAGGAGAGGAGAGUGGAAUUCCUAGUGUAGCGGUGAAAUGCGUAGAUAUUAGGAGGAACACCAGUUGCGAAGGCGGCUCUCUGGACUGUAACUGACACUGAGGCACGAAAGCGUGGGGAGCAAACAGGAUUAGAUACCCUGGUAGUCCCUGAG
rnacentral:rRNA from 1 species